UACGUAGGUGGCAAGCGUUGUCCGGAAUUACUGGGUGUAAAGGGCGUGUAGGCGGGAAGGCAGGUCAGAUGUGAAAUCCCAGGGCUUAACUCUGGAGCUGCAUCUGAAACUGUUUUUCUUGAGUACUGGAGAGGAAAGUGGAAUUCCUAGUGUAGCGGUGAAAUGCGUAGAGAUUAGGAGGAACACCAGUGGCGAAGGCGGCUUUCUGGUCUAUUAUUGACGCUGAGGCUCGAAAGCAUGGGUAGCAAACAGGAUUAGAUACCCU
rnacentral:rRNA from 1 species